UAGUCCACGCCGUAAACGAUGGAUACUAGGUGUAGGAGGUAUCGACCCCUCCUGUGCCGUCGCUAACGCAAUAAGUAUCCCACCUGGGGAGUACGGUCGCAAGACUGAAACUCAAAGGAAUUGACGGGGGCCCGCACAAGCAGUGGAGUAUGUGGUUUAAUUCGAGGCAACGCGAAGAACCUUACCAGGGCUUGACAUCGCCUGACAACCCAAGAGAUUGGGCGUCCCUUCGGGGCAGGUAGACAGGUGGUGCAUGGUUGUCGUCAGCUCGUGUCGUGAGAUGUUGGGUUAAGUCCCGCAACGAGCGCAACCCUUGCCGUCAGUUGCCAUCAUUAAGUUGGGAACUCUGGCGGGACUGCCGGUGAUAAAUCGGAGGAAGGUGGGGAUGACGUCAAAUCAUCAUGCCCCUUAUGUCCUGGGGCUACACACGUACUACAAUGGCGUAUACAGAGGGGCAGCUAGCUGGCGAUAGUAAGCGAAUCCCAAAAAGUACGUCGUAGUCCGGGAUUGGGAGUCU
rnacentral:rRNA from 1 species